AAUAAUUUUGUACGAUCAUUUUUGCAUAAAAAAAGCAAAAUUGCGCAUUGAAGAGUUAAAUAAUUAUUAAUUAUUAGGUAUACAAUAAAAACAUUAUUUUAUUUGUUACAACUUACAAGUAUAUCGUAACAUCAAAGGCUCCCUAACGAUCCUAGCCCAAAAAAUUACGCUACAUAGCUUUACUAAUGUUGAAUGUGCCAAAAUUAUGUUUAUCUUAUUUGUAAGUGUUGUAAGCAUGAAGAAUAACGAUCUACAUUCUUCGUGGUCAUAAGUAAGCAUAAAUUCAGAAUAAUUACAUGGAUGACUUACAAAUAAUUAAGACGUAACAUUUUAGUGCGGCGAAAAAUGUAGAAACGACAAAAGUAUCGAG